CGUGUAGGCGGAUUGAUAAGUUUGAAGUGAAAUCCUAUAGCUUAACUAUAGAAUUGCUUUGAAAACUGUUAAUCUAGAAUGUGGGAGAGGUAGAUGGAAUUUCUGGUGUAGGGGUAAAAUCCGUAGAGAUCAGAAGGAAUACCGAUUGCGAAGGCGAUCUACUGGAACAUUAUUGACGCUGAGAUGCGAAAGCGUGGGGAGCAAACA
rnacentral:rRNA from 1 species